rnacentral:rRNA from 1 species
UUGGUUAAGUUAGAAAGGGCGCACGGUGGAUGCCUUGGCACUAGGAGCCGAAGAAGGACGGGACUAACACCGAUAUGCUUUGGGGAGCUGUACGUAAGCGUUGAUCCAGAGAUUUCCGAAUGGGGGAACCCACUAUCUUUAGUCGGAUAGUAUCCUUACGUGAAUACAUAGCGUAAGGAAGGCAGACCCAGGGAACUGAAACAUCUAAGUACCUGGAGGAAGAGAAAGAAAAAUCGAUUUCCUGAGUAGCGGCGAGCGAAACGGAAAGAGCCCAAACCAAGAAGCUUGCUUCUUGGGGUUGUAGGACACUCUAUACGGAGUUACAAAAGAAAGUUAUAAAUGAAGCGGUCUGGAAAGGCCCGCCAAAGACGGUAACAGCCCGGUAGUUGAAAUGGCUUUCCCUCCAGAGUGGAUCCUGAGUACGGCGGAACACGUGAAAUUCCGUCGGAAUCCGGGAGGACCAUCUCCCAAGGCUAAAUACUCCCUAGUGACCGAUAGUGAACCAGUACCGUGAGGGAAAGGUGAAAAGCACCCCGGAAGGGGAGUGAAACAGUUCCUGAAACCGUGUGCCUACAAGUAGUUAGAGCCCGUUAAUGGGUGAUAGCGUGCCUUUUGUAGAAUGAACCGGCGAGUUACGAUUUGUUGCAAGGUUAAGCGGAAAAAGCGGAGCCGUAGCGAAAGCGAGUCUGAAUAGGGCGCAUAAGUAACAGGUCGUAGACCCGAAACCAGGUGAUCUACCCAUGUCCAGGAUGAAGGUAAGGUAAUACUUACUGGAGGUCCGAACCCACGCACGUUGAAAAGUGCGGGGAUGAGGUGUGGGUAGCGGAGAAAUUCCAAUCGAACUUGGAGAUAGCUGGUUCUCUCCGAAAUAGCUUUAGGGCUAGCCUCGAGGUAAAGAGUCAUGGAGGUAGAGCACUGUUUGGACUAGGGGCCCUUCUCGGGUUACCGAAUUCAGAUAAACUCCGAAUGCCAUGUACUUAUACUCGGGAGUCAGACUGCGAGUGAUAAGAUCCGUAGUCGAAAGGGAAACAGCCCAGACCACCAGUUAAGGUCCCCAAAUAUAUGUUAAGUGGAAAAGGAUGUGGGGUUGCUUAGACAACCAGGAUGUUGGCUUAGAAGCAGCCACCAUUGAAAGAGUGCGUAAUAGCUCACUGGUCGAGUGACCCCGCGCCGAAAAUGUACCGGGGCUAAACAUAUUACCGAAACUGUGGAUGAACCUCUUCGGAGGUUCGUGGUAGGAGAGCGUUCUAAGGGCGGUGAAGUCAGACCGGAAGGACUGGUGGAGCGCUUAGAAGUGAGAAUGCCGGUAUGAGUAGCGAAAGAAGGGUGAGAAUCCCUUCCACCGAAUAUCUAAGGUUUCCUGAGGAAGGCUCGUCCGCUCAGGGUUAGUCGGGACCUAAGCCGAGGCCGAUAGGCGUAGGCGAUGGACAACAGGUAGAGAUUCCUGUACCAGUGCUAAUUGUUUAACCGAUGGGGUGACACAGAAGGAUAGGGAAUCGCACGAAUGGAAAUGUGCGUCCAAGCAGUGAGUGUGAGAAGUAGGC